rnacentral:rRNA from 1 species
UCUGAUUUAAUCUGUAUCAGGCUGAAAAUCUUUCUCUCAUCCGCCAAAACAUCUUCGGCGUUGUAAGGUUAAGCCUCACGGUUCAUUAGUACCGGUUGAGCCAUAUCAGCACGCUAAAUUUGAUGCCUGGCAGUUCCCUACUCUCGCAUGGGGAGACCCCACACUACCAUCGGC